CACACACACACACACACAUGCACACACACUCACUCAUAUGAAUACAUGGAACCUCAACUCUCCCAGCUUUCCUGUCCGGUUCGCCUCGCCCCAAAAUGGGGACACAAGGCAUUCAUUCUUCUGAAUAAAGAGGUCCUGUGUUCAUUAAAAAAAAAGUUGUCCUCCACCGAGACUCAGGUCUGAGAUCACACAGCUGCAGCAGAAAUGACCCUGACUGGCUGAGUGACCAUGCAAAACAUCCAAAACAAUAUGUUAAUACAGUGGAACCUUCAAGAUGUCGGGCGGAAGAACACUGGCAUCACCUAGUGUCGAAAGCUGCAUCCUGCAGAGAACCAUGAGCAGACAAAGC